GCCGUGCAGGAUGGUCUGCUAAUUUCCCUGAUGCUUCAUCAGGUUUUGGAAGAAUCGGGCUAAGGGGUGAUUGUGCUCAGGUUUUGAUGCAGUGAGAUUCAGAUAAUUUUAAGAAACACAUGUAAAGGAGUCCAAACAGGACGGGCUCGGUGUACAUGGUUUUCAGUUAAUGCAGUUUAGGUCUAACCAGCACAAGUGGCAACAGGCAGUAGUGGAGAAGGCAUGAAGAGGCCCACAUAUGAAAAUCUCAACUAUUCUAGGAUUUUCGAGCUGCUGACCAUGUGAUUGGUAGCCGACGAUUUCUUCACGGGUUGCUGCUUUCUCAAGUUUUGCCUCACACAAAAGAGGGCUAGCAACACCUUUGACAGAAACAGCCAACAUUCAGUGCAAAUCCGGUAUAUUCUGGUUGUCUUCCAUUUAGUUGACGGCAUGCAAGACUGGUCUAAUGCAUCUACUGCUUGUUGACUUGGUUAUAUUUAUCUAUAAAGUGGCAAUGGUGCAGAAUAUACCCUCUGCCAUGGAAGGAGGUAUUUGAUGCUGUCAGAUGGCAUAUAGGUCAAUAAUGAGGUGACUGCCAGGGUAAUCUCAGGAAGGGACAACGACACAAAUUAACUUUGUUGACAAGCUCACGAUCACGGGGAACAAGCCGUCCUGCAGUAUUUCCAUGUACUGCAAGUUGACGGCAAGUUCAUUGUUGAUGCCAUGCAAUUUCUUACAAAAUACAUGUGGUACAGGUAAGCAUGCUAUUACCCGCCAUUGUGUGUGUUUUGCAUAUUUUUCUAUUCAAUACUAUGAAGUUUUCCUCUGUUAUGCUCUUCUCAGGUAUGAAGGCCGACACUGAUUAUCAAGUGGUAUGGCACUCUUCUUUAUCAGCUCUAUCCCAUCCUGUAGAGGCUUUGUGAAAAUAACUCCAUGUUAUCUUCUACAUAAUUUUGCAUUUCUUUGCAGAGAUAAGAUGUGAAUUUAUGGUAUAAGUUUCAAAAGUUUGGCAGAAUCCUUGAUCUAAAGUGAAAUAGAGUUGUA